rnacentral:rRNA from 1 species
UACGUAGGGGGCAAGCGUUGCUCGGAAUCACUGGGCGUAAAGCGCACGUAGGCGGCUUCUUAAGUCAGGGGUGAAAUCCUGGAGCUCAACUCCAGAACUGCCUUUGAUACUGUCGGGCUAGAGUCCGGAAGAGGCGAGUGGAAUUCCCGGUGUAGCGGUGAAAUGCGCAGAUAUCGGGAGGAACACCAAUGGCGAAGGCAGCUCGCUGGGACGGUACUGACGCUGAGACGCGAAAGCGUGGGGAGCAAACAGG